UACGGAGGAUCCGAGCGUUAUCCGGAUUUAUUGGGUUUAAAGGGAGCGUAGGUGGAUUGUUAAGUCAGUUGUGAAAGUUUGCGGCUCAACUGUAAAAUUGCAGUUGAAACUGGCAGUCUUGAGUACAGUAGAGGUGGGCGGAAUUCGUGGUGUAGCGGUGAAAUGCCUAGAUAUCACGAAGAACUCCGAUUGCGAAGGCAGCUCACUGGACUGCAACUGACACUGAGGCUCGAAAGUGUGGGUAUCAAACAGG
rnacentral:rRNA from 1 species